GAACGGUAGCACAGAGAGCUUGCUCUUGGGUGACGAGUGGCGGACGGGUGAGUAAUGUCUGGGAAACUGCCCGAUGGAGGGGGAUAACUACUGGAAACGGUAGCUAAUACCGCAUAACGUCUUCGGACCAAAGUGGGGGACCUUCGGGCCUCACACCAUCGGAUGUGCCCAGAUGGGAUUAGCUAGUAGGUGGGGUAACGGCUCACCUAGGCGACGAUCCCUAGCUGGUCUGAGAGGAUGACCAGCCACACUGGAACUGAGACACGGUCCAGACUCCUACGGGAGGCAGCAGUGGGGAAUAUUGCACAAUGGGCGCAAGCCUGAUGCAGCCAUGCCGCGUGUAUGGAGAAGGCCUUCGGGUUGUAAAGUACUUUCAGUGGGGAGGAAGGCGAUGGAGUUAAUAGCUUCGUCGAUUGACGUUACCCGCAGAAGAAGCACCGGCUAACUCCGUG
rnacentral:rRNA from 1 species